rnacentral:rRNA from 1 species
GACGAACGCUGGCGGCGUGCUUAACACAUGCAAGUCGAACGGAAAGGCCCUGCUUUUGUGGGGUGCUCGAGUGGCGAACGGGUGAGUAACACGUGAGUAACCUGCCCUUGACUUUGGGAUAACUUCAGGAAACUGGGGCUAAUACCGGAUAGGAGCUCCUGCUGCAUGGUGGGGGUUGGAAAGUUUCGGCGGUUGGGGAUGGACUCGCGGCUUAUCAGCUCGUUGGUGGGGUAGUGGCUUACCAAGGCUUUGACGGGUAGCCGGCCUGAGAGGGUGACCGGCCACAUUGGGACUGAGAUACGGCCCAGACUCCUACGGGAGGCAGCAGUGGGGAAUAUUGCACAAUGGGCGGAAGCCUGAUGCAGCAACGCCGCGUGCGGGAUGACGGCCUUCGGGUUGUAAACCGCUUUCGCCCGUGACGAAGCGUGAGUGACGGUAAUGGGUAAAGAAGCACCGGCUAACUACGUG